UGGGGAAUCUUGCGCAAUGGCCGAAAGGCUGACGCAGCGACGCCGCGUGUGGGAGGACGCCCUUCGGGGUGUAAACCACUGUUGCCCGGGACGAACAGCGCUUUUCGAGGCGCCUGACGGUACCGGGUGAGGAAGCACCGGCUAACUCUGUGCCAGCAGCCGCGGUAAUACAGAGGGUGCGAGCGUUGUCCGGAAUCACUGGGCGUAAAGGGCGCGUAGGCGGUGCGAUAAGCGUGCGGUGAAAGCCCGGGGCUCAACCCCGGGUCGGCCGUGCGGACUGUCGGACUGGAGCACUGUAGAGGCAGGUGGAAUUCCGGGUGUAGCGGUGGAAUGCGUAGAGAUCCGGAAGAACACCGGUGGCGAAGGCGGCCUGCUGGGCAGUGGCUGACGCUGAGGCGCGACAGCGUGGGGAGCAAACAG
rnacentral:rRNA from 1 species